rnacentral:lncRNA from 1 species
AAAUGGAGUGAUGCAUCUUAUAACUCAGGCAACUGACAAAUAGCAAAACAAGAAGAAUAAUUGUCGCAUGCCUUUCAUUCUCAUAUAUGAGUACAAAAUCAGUACAUAUGGCACCAUACAACAGAAAGUAUGAAUGUAUGAUUGGUCGAGUGGAAAUCAAACAGUACACACACCGUACGAAUCAAUACUGUGCUACAUUGAUCAAGAACUUGAAAAACCCAAGCACGUACGCUCGGCCUUUUAUUUUGGUCAUUAGGAAUUAAAAGUUGCGCUCGCCGUAUCACGUAACGUCGCGCGUACGAAUUAACGUGCACCAUGGACGAUGGACGAGGCUAGGCGGCAGUGACGGCGAUCUUCAUGCCGGAUUGGCAGUGUCCGGGGAUGCUACAGAUGAAGUAGUUUGUGCCGCGGGCGAGGGUGACGCGGUCGGCACCGGACUUGUACACCUUGGCGCCGUUUGCCGGCUUGGCGCAGGCCUUGUACCCCGCCGCGCUCACCGCCACCACGUCGUGCGCCGUCGCGUCGUACUUGAACACUGCAAGCAGCCAGAUUCACAUGCAUCAAAACUUCUUCUCAUCGGUGUGCAUGCAGAAAACUAUCAAUCCAUGCAUGCACGUAUAUAGGUACGAACCUAGGACGUCGCCGGCCUUGAAGCGCUUGCCGGUGGGCCAGGAGUUGGUGUUGAAGGACCAGCCGCCGCGGUCGCCGACGUUGAACACCGCCGCCUCCGCCACGAGAGUGCAGAGAAGAAGCACGGCAAGGAGCACGGCCACGUUGGCACUGCCUCCUCCCCGUGCGGCCAUUGCUAGCUAGCUUAGCUAGGAACGACUACCGAUCAAUUACCAACUCAAGAAGUAGCACGUACGAGGAGAGAGGCAGGUUGAGAGGAGAAAUGCUGAGAGGGAGGUGCGGUGGUGGUUGGCAAUGGACUAGCCGGUGCGGUUUUAUAGGCCCGCCGGUGUGGAGGCGCGAGGGCAACUAGGCCAAAAGGUGUGUGGAAAUACUGGUUUUCUCGGUAGUGCAGCAUUUUUCUGAUGGAAGCGUAGAGUAGAAUGUAGUGGAGUGGAACGGGGGUUGGCCAACGACCCACAACAUUGGAGGCGCCAUUACUUUCCGAUGUUGGACGGCGACGAGUCCUACACCGGUAGACUUUGAGGAGAACGUUGGAUGGAUGGGAGACGUGACGACUCCAACCCGGCCACUACUUAGCGUGCGUGCUGGGAAAACGAUUAACUACGAAAAGAUGUGGAAAUGAAAACACCACGCGUUUUAAUUUGUAAUAGACUUCUUAGUGUUGGAUGAACUAUGGUGCUGUCCAUCCCAAAAAAAAACUAUGGUGCUGUCAGGUUUUCGCCCCAUGGUGUUCGUUACGAUGACGAGCGAACGCAGUGGGUUUCUUGGCAGUGCUCAAACUCGCUGUACCUCUUUCCCUUUCCUCCUGCUGUUCUCGGUACUUUGUAUUUCCGUUCAUUUGCAAUGAAAAGGGGUCAUGCCCGGUUCAAAAAAAAAAAUGAAAACACCACGCGCGCCAAAGUGGCGUUCAAAUAUACUUGGACAGCGCACCAUGUACGUAUGAUAAUAUAAUCCAUCUCCCAAUUCUCUCUCAGGGCCGGCCCUGGGGCAUGGGCAAAGGGGCGGCGGCCCAGGGCCCAGGCCGAAGGGGGGCCCAUGAUGUGUAUACAUAUAGAGUAUAAGCAAAAAAAUAGAUAAAGAAAAAAUUGUGUGGAAAAAUAAAUGAGAUGUGCUUGGUGUCGUGGUUCUAAGCCUGACAGUAGAGUGGGGGGUAGGAAUGGAGAGGCAAGGUCCUAGCUAUGGAGAGGUUGUAAACACCAGGGAUGUACGAGUUCAGGCCCUUCUCGGAAGAAGUAAUAGCCCUACGUCUCGGAGCCCGGAGGCGGUCGAGUGGAUUAUGAGUAUAUGAGUUACAAGGUGCCGAACCCCUCUACCUGUGGAGGGGGGUGGCUUAUAUAGAGUGCGCCAGGACCCCAGCCAGCCCACGUAGGAGAGGGUUUAAGGUGAGUUAAGUCUGGGGCGUUACUGGUAACGCCCCACAUAAAGUGUCUUUACUAUCAUAAAGCCUACUUAAUUACAGGCCGUUGCAGUGCAGAGUGCCUCUUGACCUCCUGGUGGUCGAGUGAGUCUUCAUGGUCGAGUCCUUCAAGUCAGUCAAGUGAGUCCCUCGUUGGUCGACUGGAAGGCGACCUCUUCUAAGGGUGUCCUUGGGCAAGGUACUUAGAUCAGGUUCAUGACCCUACCCUAGGUACAUGACCCCAUCAUUAGCCCCCGAAUGGAUUGAGGCUUCGAGUGAGGAAGGAGUUGAUGUUGUUUCCGAUUAACCUUUGCACACUGGUCGUGCGUUGUUCUGGACCAAAGAAUCUCUUCGUCGAUAGUGAGCAACUUGUCUUCAGUCGACUCGAUCCAUUCUCUUCUUUCGUCGAGUGAUCUUUCGGGCUUCGACGAUCCCCGAGCGACGGAUCGCGGGAAACCCCGCGUCUGACAGACUGAUCUGCUGUUCGCGGAUUCCGCGGGAUGCGAAAUUUGGGGACGCGCGCGAAGCGGAGCGGACCGCGGCGUUCGGAUGGGACGGGACAUAGACGCCUCGAUCUCCGCGCCGCUUUCUUCGCCACGUAUCCCGUCUGCAUAACUGUUCCUGGAUAUGAUUAGAUCGACCGGGCCCACCUGUCAUCCACUCGGAAGGGAUCUUAUAAAUGCGCCCGGCGAGGAUUUUUGUACUGUGCCUCAGCAUUCUCUCUCUUUCUGCUCCCUUCGUCCCCGUCCAGCGCGCUCGCUCUCGCCCCCGCACAACUUCCCCUCGCGCAUCUCGCCGGCAACCAUGGCCAAGGAGAAGACGGCGGCGCUGGAACAUGCGAAGAAGGCGUCGGCGUCGGAGAAGGCGAAGGGGAGAUCUACCAGCCGCGGCGGGUCUUCGUCCAGAUCUCGCCUGCCGAAGGGCUGGGUCCAAGGAGACUGGAUCCAGUCGACCAUCACAGAAAAAGAUCUCCUCGACAUGGCCAACGAGGGCUUGAUCCCUCAUGGAGCUGCGAGGCUUCCGGGGAAGGAGUGGCAGCCCCAGCCAGAAGAGGGUGAGUGUGUGCUCUUGGCCACCCAUGUUGAUCGUGGAUUUUCUUUGCCGCCGAGUAUUUUCUUCCGUGGCUUCUUGAACUUCUUUGGAGCGCAGCUCCACCACUUUACCCCAAAUUCUAUCGCCUAUCUUGCCGCGUUCGUGUCCAUGUGUGAGGGUUUCCUGGGCUGUCGACCGUACUGGGGUUUGUUCAAGCAUAUAUUCACGUGCCGCUCUCAGACCGUGAAGAAGGCGAGCCCAGGCGAUGAAAGAACCCGAGUCGUCCAAAUGUGUGGGGGCCUGGGGAUCCAGGUGAGGAAUAAGAGCACCUUCCCGCCCAUGACCUUUCCCGAGUCAGUCAGAGGCUGGCAGUCGACCUGGUUCUACUGCCAGGACCAGUCGACGCCGGGGCAAUCGAGUGGACUCCCUCAGUUUACCAUGGACCGAGUGAACAAGCCCUCCUCUCUGAAGUUGAUUCCGGAGGAGAAAGCUGACGUGAAGAUGUUGAUGGAGCGCGUGGUGCAGUUGGUUCGGGAGGGAGUGACUGGCAUGGAUCUCCUGGAGGUCUUCCUUAGGCGUCGCAUCCAGCCCCUUCAGUUCCGGAGCCACUGCAUGUGGUUGUACUGUGGGACUGAAGACGAGACUCGAGUCCAUCCAGAAGCAGUCGACGAUGUCACUCUGGAAAGAUGGAUGGCAGCCGUUACCGGAAACAAGGAUAACCCACGCGGAGCCAGAAGGAUUCCUCCACUCGACCACAACAGCGAUCCAAACAAGGUACGUUUGCUCUGCUCUCCACUGUGUCCUUGUCACAUUCGUUUCUGUUUAUCCUGCCGACUGGCCGAUUGAUCCUUGUCUGGAUAUCUACCAGGCCCUCACCGAGCUAUACUCGAUGCCCAACGGGGCACAAGCUCCGACUGAGGAGGGUGAGGCGAGUGGGGGCGAGAGCCAGGAGGAGGAGGAAUGGGACUCGGACGUUGCUGAGGAUGAUGAUGACGAUGAUGAUGAUGACGGUGAUGAAGAUGACGUUGAAGACGAGGAAGAAGAGGAGGAGGAGGUCGUACCACCGCGCUCAGAAAGGCGGUCGAAGCUUGUCCACGACCCCUCGACUGAACGUGGCAAGGGGGUUGCGACCGUUGCUCAGUCGACCAAGCGCCCUCGGACCACCUCUCCGGUGCCGACUGAAAAGGCGCCGAAGCAGCCCAGGGCGGCCUCGUCGAAGCCGAUCAAGCUCCUGCCGAAGAUGAAGGUGUCCAUCCCCACCAUAUCAGGUAAUCGUGCUGCUUAAGUCUUCUUAUUUUGUGUGAACUUUGUCUCUGGUUGACGCUGAAGUUAGUCGACUGAUUCUUUGGAGUUGCAGUGCUGCUACUUCUGAGACCUCAGCCCGGGCUGAUGACCAUGAGAUGGAGGACGUAGCAACUUCAAAACCAGGUACUAUAUUCUUAACGCCGUUUUUAGUCGACUGACUUGCGAUCUCUGAUCCUGAUUCUUCUUCGUAGCUCCACCCAAUGCUGUUAUCAAUCUCCCUGAUGAUGAUGAGGAUGAGGAACUGCUGAAGCGCAGAAGGAGUAGAAAAGCGUCCGCCAGCAAGGUGCCCCAGGAUGUGACGGCGCCUGAGAUUCUGAUUGCAGAGGAAGAGAACACCACUCGACACACGGUGUCCUUCGCAGAUCCAUUGACGAGUGCUCAGCAGCCCUCCCUCUUCACGACGCACCACGUCCCAGAGGACCAAGCUGGCGCGGCGAAGGAGGCGAUACGCCAGGCGGGAAUCACGAUGGAGCAAUUGAAGACUAUCCGGGAUGCGAGCCAGGCAGCUUAUGACGCCAGUUCUGCCCUCCAAAGAAAUGUUUAGGUCAGUCGACCACCGUUUGUUCUGUUGGAUACGCUACCAAAAACUUUUCCUUUCCGGAAUUUAUAGUAGUCACCCAGUGGGUGUGUCGAUUAAACUCCGUGUUAGCGGGGGCACGCUGAGUGCACCCGCUGGGUGUAGUCCCCCAGGCUAAGGUCGACUGCUGGCAGUCGGCCUUAGGCUUUAUGAUGUCAAUCUUUCUGUCAGUCGACUAUGUCGACUGGAUUUCACAAACCGGUGGGGGCACGCUGAGUGCACCCAUUGGGUGUAGUCCCCGAGACUGUGGUCGACUGCUUGCAGUGGAUUACAGUCUUAAAGAAUACAUCUCUCUUUUUUUUUGAGGUCGACUGGUCGACUUUAUCUUCAACAGGAUUAGUGGGGGCACGCUGAGUGCACCCACUGGGUGUAGUCCCCGAGACUACGGUCGAAUGCUUGUAUUCAGCUGUAGUCUUAGAAACGUGUGAUUUUUCCUUUUUCACUCGGAAGUGAAUUAUAUUUGACAUUUAGUCGAUUGGUUCUUCGCAGAACUCCUGUGAUCUUGUGGCUCGCUACUCUGAGCUGGAAAACAAGCACACUCAACUCGAGCUGAGCUUGAAGCUGGUUCAGGAGAAGCUGACGAAGGCAAAGGAGAAGACCGAAGGUAUGUUUGGUGAGACCCUGACGACUGCUUUUCCCCUUGCUUGUUUCAAAAUCUGAUCUUGCUGUAUCUUGCAGGUAAGGUAAGGGAGGCCCAACAGAAGAAAGACCUCGAACUAGCUGAGAAGAUCAAGCUUGCUGACGAGAAGUUAGCUUCAGUCACCAAGCUUGAACAAGACAAUACCAAUCUGAAAGCUGCUCUUGGGAUCGCCAACAAGGAGGUCAGUCGACUAAAAACUGAUAAAGCUGCCCUGACCGACCAAGUCAGCAAAUUGACUGGGAAGAAAAAUGAUCUGGAGGCCUUCCUGAGUGGUCUUGCCAAGAAGCUGUUUCUUAUGCUUGAAGGUAAACCUCUAUGCUCGGCAAACAUUUCCAAUCGUGGUUUUUCCAUUCGACCAUCCCCUUGACUCAGUGAUCAUCCUUGCAGAAUUUUGUCGAAACUUUGAAGAAGAAACUAGCCGGCUGGAGCCAAACCUCGACCCCGUCAAUUCUCCGGUGAACGACGAAGUUGCCAUGGAUGUUUUCCGACUGGAGUCUCGUGUUGCAGCUGUCGUGGAUUAUCUCGCAAGGCUGAAGGCCGCCACAUCUCGCAUCGACUCGACGCUCUGGCCUGAGGAGACACUUCGGAAUGACCUUGAGUCGCUGAUGGCCCGCUUGAACACGAUCCCUGGUCGAGUGCAGGAAUGGAAGAAGUCCUCGGCUCGGUGUGGUGCAGAUGUUGCUCUGUGUCUGGCCCGAGUCCACUGUAAAGAUGCGCGAGAAGAGAAGCUGGCGGCCCUUCGGGUGGCCAACACCAAGAAACACGACUUCAGGUCCUUUAUGGAAACUUUCCUUGCGGCUGCCACUCGGAUCGCCGACGGAAUUGACCUUGAUGAGUUCGUUGCACCUUCCAGCCCUCCACAGGAGGGUAAAAAACUUCUUCUGGCUCGACGCUUUAAAUUUGCCUCGGUAUGCCGAGUGGAAUUGUAACCGAUAAACCUUAACAGGCUUAACGCCUGAGCACUUUCGGUUCCUUUAGAUAUCGAUUCAAACUUGAAUUUGGUGCUUGAAUACGAUUGCUUUUGGCUCGAAAUGUCUUUUGCAGGUUCAAAGCAAGGCGCCUUUACUGCAAUCGACUUAUUCUUUAGUCCACUUAGGCGAGCACUGGGCUGCGGCUAAGCCUCCGAGUGGAAGCCCGGCUUACCACUCGGUAGGAUUUCUAUAACUUAGGCGAGCAUUGGGCUGCAGCUAAGCCCCCGAGUGAGGGGUUUAGUCUUCACUCGGUAGGAUUUUGAUAACUUAGGCUAGCACUGGGCUGCAGCUAAGCCUCCGAGUGAGAGGUUUGCUCUUCACUCGGUAGGAUUUUUAUAACUUAGGCUAGCACUGGGCUGCAGCUAAGCCUCCGAGUGAGAGGUUUGCUCUUCACUCGGUAGGAUUUUUAUAACUUAGGCGAGUGCUUGGACUGCAGCUAAGCCUCCGAGUGAGAGGGUUGCUCUUCACUCGGUAGGAUUUUUGUAACUUAGGCGAGUGCUUGGACUGCAGCUAAGCCCCCGAGUGAGAGGCUUGCUCUUCACUCGGUAGGAUUUUUUACAACUUAGGCGAGCACAGGGCUGCAGCUAAGCCCCCGAGUGAAAGUCUGGCUUACCACUCGGUAGGAUUUUGAUAACUUAGGCNNNNNNNNNNNNNNNNNNNNNNNNNNNNNNNNNNNNNNNNNNNNNNNNNNNNNNNNNNNNNNNNNNNNNNNNNNNNNNNNNNNNNNNNNNNNNNNNNNNNNNNNNNNNNNNNNNNNNNNNNNNNNNNNNNNNNNNNNNNNNNNNNNNNNNNNNNNNNNNNNNNNNNNNNNNNNNNNNNNNNNNNNNNNNNNNNNNNNNNNNNNNNNNNNNNNNNNNNNNNNNNNNNNNNNNNNNNNNNNNNNNNNNNNNNNNNNNNNNNNNNNNNNNNNNNNNNNNNNNNNNNNNNNNNNNNNNNNNNNNNNNNNNNNNNNNNNNNNNNNNNNNNNNNNNNNNNNNNNNNNNNNNNNNNNNNNNNNNNNNNNNNNNNNNNNNNNNNNNNNNNNNNNNNNNNNNNNNNNNNNNNNNNNNNNNNNNNNNNNNNNNNNNNNNNNNNNAAACUUAGGCGAGUGCUUGCACUGCAGCUAAGCCUCCGAGUGAGAGGGUUGCUCUUCACUCGGUAGGGUUUUUGUAACUUAGGCGAGUCCUUGGACUGCAGCUAAGCCCCCGAGUGAGAGGUUUGCUCUUCACUCGGUAGGAUUUUGAUAAACUUAGGCGAGUCCUUGGACUGCAGCUAAGCCUCCGAGUGGAAGUCUGGCUUACCGCUCGGUAGGAUUUUGAUAACUUAGGCGAAACGGAUUCGCAGCUAAGCCUCCGAGUGGGAGUCUAGCUCACCACUCGGUAGGAUUUUUACAAACUUAGGCGAAACGGAUUCGCGGCUAAGCCUCCGAGUGGGAGUCUGGCUCACCACUCGGUAGGAUUUUUACAAACUUAGGCGAAACGGAUUCGCGGCUAAGCCACCCACUGAGGGGGAAUUUUAUUGGACAAAAAUAAAAAGUGACAGAAAUUAUGGAGGAACUAUGACACUAUUAUUUUGAGGUCCAUGAACUACAGAAGUACUUUAUUGCAACUUAUCCGAGUGAUAAAACUUAAGUAUAAAAUGGGCAGAGUAGUUCCGCGUUCCAAGCUCGGGGCUCAUCGAUGUUAUGCUCGACGUUGUAAAGACGGUACGCCCCGUUGUGGAGAACCUUGGUGACGAUGAAGAGACCUUCCCAAGAAGGAGCAAGCUUGUGUGGUUUGUGCUGAUCCACUCGGAGAACUAAAUCUCCUUCCUGGAAGGCUCGACCUCUCACAUUUCUGGCGUGGAAACGACGCAAAUCUUGUUGGUAGAUGGUCGACCGGAUCAGAGCCAUCUCCCUUUCUUCCUCUAAAAGGUCGACUGAGUCCUGCCGCGCUUGUUCAGCCUCUGCUUCAUUGUAGAUUUCAACUCGAGGAGCAUUAUGGAGAAGAUCACUCGGCAAGACUGCUUCAGCUCCGUAGACCAAGAAGAAUGGAGUUCUUCCGGUCGACCGAUUAGGUGUGGUCCGCAGCCCCCAAAGCACUGAGGGAAGUUCGUCGACCCAAGCUCCAGCCGCGUGUUUGAGAUCACGCAUCAGUCGGGGCUUCAAUCCUUUAAGAAUCAGUCCAUUAGCUCGCUCUGCUUGUCCAUUCGACUGCGGAUGGGCGACUGAAGCGUAGUCGACCCGUGUGCCUUGGGAGUUACAGAAAUCUCUGAACUCCUCCGAGUCAAAGUUUGACCCAUUAUCCGUAAUGAUGCUGUGCGGGACUCCAUAUCUGAAUAUUAGUUCCCUGAUGAAGCUAACAGCAGUACCGGUGUCAAGGUUCUUGAUUGGUUUAGCCUCGAUCCACUUGGUGAACUUGUCGACUGCCACCAGUACAUGCGUGAAGCCGCUUCGUCCCGUUCUCAAAGGACCGACCAUGUCCAAUCCCCAUACUGCGAAAGGCCAGACGAGUGGGAUGGUCUUCAGAGCCGACGCAGGCUUGUGCGACAUAUUCGAGUAGAACUGACAUCCCUCGCACUUAUCCACUAUCUCUUUUGCCAUCUCAUUCGCCUUUGGCCAGUAAAAUCCGGCUCGGUAUGCUUUGGCCACGAUGGUCCGAGAGGACGCAUGAUGACCACAGGUCCCCGAGUGGAUAUCAUUGAGGAUGAGUCGACCUUCUUCUGGUGUUAUGCACUUCUGGCCAACUCCAGUCGCGCUUUCUCUGUAUAAUUGACCUUUGAUUACGGUAAAGGCCUUAGAUCGACGGACGAUCUGUCGAGCCUCUUCCUCAUCCUCCGGAAGCUCUUUCCUCAGGAUAUACGCGACAUAUGGAACCGUCCAGUCGGGAAUGGCCACCAAGACCUCCAUGAUCAAGUCGACCACCGCUGGGACUUCAAUCUCAGUCGGAUCUGUGGCACUCUUGGGCUGUGGAGUUUCUUCGGUGAAAGGAUCUUCUUUGACUGACGGAGUGUGUAUAUGCUCCAAGAACACACCACUCGGAAUGGCUUCUCUCUUGGAACCUAUCUUUGCUAGAUCAUCAGCUGCUUGAUUUUUCAGUCGGGGUAUAUGAUGGAGCUCCAACCCCUCAAACUUCUUUUCCAGCUUCCUCACUGCACUGCAGUAUCCAGUCAUGGCUGGGCUUCUCACGUCCCACUCCUUCAUCACCUGGUUGACCACUAAAUCCGAGUCGCCAUAGACCAUCAGGCGACGGACGCCGAGUGAAAUGGCCAUGCGCAACCCAUAUAAGAGGGCCUCAUAUUCUGCCUCAUUGUUGGAGGAAUCAAAGUGAAUCUGGAGCACAUAUCUGAGCUUAUCUCCUCUGGGGGAAACCAGGACAACCCCAGCACCGGAACCAUUCAACAUCUUAGAGCCGUCAAAGAACAUGGUCCAAUGCUCCGAGUGAACUUCAGUCGGCUGCUGCUGUUCAAUCCACUCGGCGAGGAAAUCUGCUAUUGCCUGGGACUUAAUGGCUUUCUUUGCCUCAAACUUGAUAUCAAGGGGAAGAAGUUCAAUUGCCCAUUUGGCCACUCGACCAGUUGCAUCUCUGUUGUGCAAAAUCUCUGAUAGUGGAGCGUCGCUGACGACUGUGAUGGAAUGAUCAGAAAAAUAAUGAGCAACCUUCUUUGUGGUCAUGUAUAUUCCAUACACAAGCUUCUGAUAAUGAGGAUAUCUCUGCUUGGAUGGAGUCAAGACUUCAGACAAAUAAUACACUGGGCGCUGAACUUUGAGAGCUUUUCCUUCUUCUUCCCGCUCGACCGUAAGCACAGUACUGACGACUUGUCCUGUGGCUGCGAUAUAGAGCAACAGAGGCUCUUUUCUGAUUGGAGCAGCAAGCACCGGCUGGGUGGAGAGCAGAGCUUUUAGCUCGGCAAACGCUGCAUCAGCUUCUGGAGUCCACUCGAACUUGUCUGUCUUCUUCAUCAGUCGGUAAAGAGGCAAUGCCUUUUCACCGAGUCGUGAGAUGAAUCGACUUAAUGCGGCCAAGCAUCCAGUAAGCUUCUGGAUAUCGUGCACUCGCACAGGGUGUUUCAUUCGGAGAAUAGUGCCAAUCUUCUCUGGAUUAGCGUCGAUUCCCCGUUUGGAAACGAGAAAACCGAGUAACUUGCCACCAGGAACUCCAAAUGUGCACUUUGAUGGAUUGAGCUUGAUAUCAUAUCUUCUGAGGUUGGCAAAUGUUUCGGCGAGAUCAGCGAGCAGGUCGGAACCUUUUCGUGACUUGACAACGAUAUCAUCCAUAUAUGCUUCCACAUUCCGACUGAUUUGAGUGAGUAGACACUUCUGAAUCAUUCGCAUAAAUGUGGCUCCGGCAUUCUUGAGGCCGAAUGGCAUGGUGAUAUAGCAGAAGCACCCGAAUGGAGUGAUGAAAGCUGUUUUUACCUCGUCGGGUCCGUACAGACGGAUCUGGUGGUACCCGGAGUAGGCAUCUAGAAAAGACAGUCUCUCGCAUCCCGCGGUCGAGUCAACAAUUUGAUCUAUGCGAGGGAGAGGAAAAUGAUCUUUCGGGCAGGCCCGGUUGAUGUGCUUGAAAUCAAUGCACAUUCGGAGCGACUUGUCCUUCUUAGGAACCAUGACGACAUUAGCGAGCCACUCGGAGUGGUAUAUCUCUCGGAUAAAUCUUGCCGCCAACAGUCGAGCCACUUCCUCACCAAUGGCUUUUCUCUUCUGGACGGCAGACCGCCGAAGAUGCUCUUUGACUGGUUUUGCAGAUGAGUCGACUCUUAGGCGAUGCUCAGCCAGUCCCCUGGGAACACCUGGCAUGUCAGCGGGCUUCCAUGCAAAAAUGUCCCAGUUCUCACGGAGGAACUGGAUGAGCGCUUCUUCCUAUUUUGGGUCGAGUGUUGUGGAGAUGCGGGUCGGAGCUGCAUUGGGGUCGGUCGGGUGAAUGUGAACAGGCUUCGUCUCACCGGACGACUGAAAUGCAGACUCUGUGGCGGGUUUCUUUGAUCGCAGCAAGUCACUCGGAUCUGCAUUUUGCUUAUAUUCUUCGAAUUCGACCACUGUCACCUGGGAAUCGGCAAUCUUUGAGCCCUUCUGAAAGCACUCUUCUGCCUUUUUCCGAUCACCGGUGACAGUGAUCACUCCUUUGGGGCCGGGCAUCUUCAAUUUGAGGUACACGUAACAUGGUCGAGCCAUGAACCGUGCGUAAGCUGGUCUCCCCAAAAUGGCAUGAUAUGCACUCUGAAAAUCCACGACCUCAAACGUCAACUUUUCUUUGCGAAAAUGCUUCGAAUCACCAAACACCAUGUCCAAAGCUAUUUGGCCGAGUGACUCGGCUUUCUUCCCUGGUAUAACUCCAUGAAAGCUCAUGUUACUAGUGCUCAGUCGGGACAUCGGAAUGCCCAUUCCUUUCAGUGUGUCUGCAUACAACAAAUUCAGCCCGCUUCCACCGUCCAUCAGCACUUUUGUCAGUCGAGUGCCUUCGACAACUGGAUCGACCAUCAAAGCUUGCCUCCCAGGGGUGGCAAUAUGAGUCGGGUGAUCAGAUUGGUCGAAUGUGAUGGGUAUUUGAGACCAUUUCAGAUAAUUUGCUUUUGCUGGGGCAACCAUGUUCACCUCUCGGUUAAUGACUUUCAGUCGACUCCUGCUUUCCACAUCUGCAAAGAUCAUCAGAGUGGAGUUGAUAUGCGGAUAUCCUUCCUCACUGUCCUCCUUGUCUUCGGCCUUGUCCGACUCCUUCUCCUUGUUCUUAGACUGUUUUCCCUGAAACUGCUGGAUCAAGAGUCGACAUUGGCGAGUGGUGUGCUUCGGGUAGAUGAUAUUCCCCUCUUCGUCUUUCUUCGUGUGGAUGUGACAUGGCAUAUCCAUUACGUCGUUCCCUUCUUUAUCCUUUACCUUCUUGGGGUUCCAGGAUCCUUUUGGUUUCCCCUUAAACUUUCCCUGAGUCACGGCCAGAGCCUCUCCAGGAGCUGCCGGUUCAGCCUUCCGCUUCUGUUUCCGACUGGUGUUUCGUUUUUCCGACUGACUCGGCUUGUGCUUGCCGCUUUGGAGUCGGUCUUCUUCUUCGCCGUUGGCGUACUUGGUAGCAAUCUCCAUCAUCCGACUCAAGGUCAUGUCACCGGUUCGACCAAACUUCAAACUCAGUUCUCUGUUCUUGACGCCAUCUUUGAAGGCGCAGACUGCCUGAUGAUCAGACACAUUCUCCACAGUGUGGUGCAAAGUGAUCCACCUCUGAAUAUACUCUCUGAGAGUCUCAUUAACCUUCUGCACGCAGACUUGCAACUCUGUCAAUCCAGCUGGUCGCUUGCAAGUUCCUUCAAACGUUCUGAUGAACACUCGGGACAGAUCUUCCCAAGUGUAAAUGCUGCUAGGAGGUAAUUGAGUCAACCAUGCCCUGGCAGAACCUUCCAGCAUGAGGGGCAAAUGCUUCAUGGCCACCUCGUCGUUCCCACCACCAAUCUGAACUGCCACUCGGUAAUCUUCAAGCCAAGUUUCAGGCUUAGACUCACCAGUGAACUUGCUGACUCCUGUUGCCAACCUGAAAUUGGGAGGGAUAACUGCGGCUCUGAUAGCUCUGCUGAAACAUUCAGGACCAGAAACAUGCACUCGACUGCUUGUGGGUGCAUCUCUGUCGAGUCCGCCUCGAUGGGCUCUGUUCCGGUCGACCAAACCUUGCACGAUAAUGGAUCGCGCGUCGAAGCCUGGUUCUCUGGGGUCGACUGGAACCCUUCGCCCUGUACUGAACUGACGCCUGUCAUCUUGCUGCCGAGGAGCGUAAGACCCACCCCUUGGAGGGGAAUGGGGCACUCGACGCCUAUCAUCUCGGUCGAGUCGCUCACCAUAUUGGCCUUGCCGAUUCUCGUGCCCCUCACGCCGAUCUGGGACUGUGAGCCGACUGAACCGUAUUCGCAGUGACGGAUCGACUGUGAAUUCUGUUGCGCGACUGAGACACGGCUGAAUUCUGAUCUCCUGCUGCCCGGAGCAGAUCCCUGAUCUGCAGCAAACCUCUGCCGGCUUCCGACUGCGAAGGCUAGAUGGACUCUGCUAUACGGGUCGCAGCUGCUAAAUUCUGGAUUGGGGUUCGAUAUACCUGAGUCGGAGGGAAGAGUUGACGUCGACUGGUGUCGGGAACUCGUUGCCGCGCGCGCUCGUCGAGUGCUCGCUGAAGAUUCUCCAGUCGAGUGCGCUUGGCCAAAUUGGCCAGACGUGCCUCCUCCAAGGCACGAGCCUCGGGGGUUUCUCCUGCGAUGGGAGUACGCAGGGCAUCCACGUUCCUGCGGCGAAGUUCCUCUCUUUGCAGAGAGUCAAGUGGCUCGGGCUGGUACUCUUCGUGGCCUCGUGCGGGGUCGCCUCCGCCACCUGCUCCAUCAUCACGGGCGAAGCCAGGGGGACUGCGGGGCCCGUCGACCAUCAAGAUUUCCGCCGCUGGAUCACUGCUAUCGCACUCGGAUGCAGUCUCUACGGAGCCAGUCGACAGAUCGAACAAGCCGUAGAGAGAUUCGUCAGGCUCGAUUGCCGCAACUUGGAUGGUGGCCGAUUGGCGAGCCACCGCGUGCCUCACCCAUCGCUGAAGCCUCGACCGGCCCGAGCGCUUGCGCUGGCGGGAGACCGGGAGGGUGGACGAUGGAGGAGCCGACCGAUACGGGGUCGAUGGUUGCCGCAGCAGAACGCCGCGGACACAUGCGCGAAAAUGCAUCGCACCACGGAUGGGGAGCGCAUCAACGUCGAGUGGAGCCUCCUGGAGCCAGGCGGAGUUGUCGGCGAUGAAGGUGAGAGUACCGAGACAGAUCUCUCGACCCUCGACCAAAACUCCAGCAGCCACCACGACGAAAGUACUCGGAAGAAUCGCAACUUCUCCACAAAAUCGCUAAAACACCUGCCCCACGGUGGGCGCCAACUGUCGUGGUUCUAAGCCUGACAGUAGAGUGGGGGGUAGGAAUGGAGAGGCAAGGUCCUAGCUAUGGAGAGGUUGUAAACACCAGGGAUGUACGAGUUCAGGCCCUUCUCGGAAGAAGUAAUAGCCCUACGUCUCGGAGCCCGGAGACAGUACGUAUCCACGACUCCUGAUCCAUUCAUCGAUCCCUCAAUUUCAGUAGUUUCUUUACUAGGUAUUCAACUAUCCAUCUGAAGUUUCAAAUUUUUUAUGUAUACUCUUCUACAUAGUAUACAUUCAACCAUCCUAAUUUUUUAUGAUUACUCUUAUUAUUGUCCUAUAUAUAUAUAUAUAUAUAUAUAUAUGUUUAUGUAUCACACGCACACAUACAUAUAUAUGAUCUUACGACAUGGGGGCCCAUGUCGUCGAGUUCGCCUAGGGCCUCCCAAAACACAGGGCCGGCCCUGAACGUGUUGUACGGGUUGGGACCGUUAGCUGCGGGGUCGCUGCCUCCAUAUCUCCAACCAGCACCAAGCAGUAGGGGGCGUGUGUUUGGUAGGUCGCAUAGAGGCCAACCAGGCCGCGUGGAAAGAAAAUGAGCUAUUUGGUUGUGUGCGUUUACUGUUGGGUCCGCAUCGUAAGAAACUUAGAGCAUCUUCAACAGGCACUCAAAAAUUGCCUAUGCGCCGGAGACAGAAAAUAGUGCACGGGUGUGCGUGCAGGCUGCUGCAGGUGAGGCCGCCGACUUGGGCGCCAUGUUUGUGUGCAUCUGAAAAACGGAACCCCUUCGUUGUUCCCGCGCGUAAAAAGACUAUUUUGGCGUUGUAAAAGAAUUAUACCGCACCGAGGUGAAACGCGCCUGUUGGAGAUGCUCUCAAAGCAGCUCUCAGCCAGGCCCGCUAGGCACUGCCGAAUCGGCAGUUUCCAGCCAGUUAGGCUGAGUUGAGUCACAUCAAGCACACAUGAUGGGCCCCCUUGCACGAGAAUAUGCCAGUGCAAUGUAAGCUCCUCUCUAGUCUUAUUUCUUCCUCGUCCCUUCUAAUCUACACAACAGUGUUUCGAUUCGAGAUAAGCUCUACAUAAAAAAGAUGCAUAUCGAUUUUAUGCUUCCUUUCAGACGAUCAGUUUGUAGUUUUAUCUAUUGUAAAUGCUCAAUUUUGUGUUCAUGUAUGGAUCUAUUUUGGAUGAAUUUUGUCAAAUUUGUCGCGUACGGUCAACCGUUUGAAAUUUCCUUUGACAGUAGCUUCAUCUCGCAGUUUCACAUGACUUUUGUGUUGCAUAUUUUCUGUUUCGACGAUCGUAGACGAGUAGAUCUACAUCUUCCUCAUGAAUUGUAUAUAUGCAUAUGCGUGAUAUGUUUUAAUGACACUCCUUAGGGCAUCUCCAAUGAGGACCCUCAUUUCAUCCAACUAUAUAUCUGUCUAUCUAUGUACAGAAAAAAAUGUUGACCAUGCAUCAAUUGAGUGACACAUUUAAUAAUCAAUGUUGUUAAAUUCCGGUCGACUUGGUUAAUCUCAGUCGAUGCUAUAUUCAUAAGAUCUUGCUUUGUGUAAAAAAAAUAUUUUUAGUUUUUCCUUUUUCCUUUUUUCAUAUGGUAUGUCACAUGAUUGAGAUUUGGUUAACUCUCAGUCGACUAAGACCUAGCCGCAUCCUUUUAUAAUUCAGUCAAGUGACAAAUAGUUAAAUCAGAAGAAUAAUUGUCGAUGCCUUUUAUUCUCUCGUAUAUAUGAGUACAAAAUCAGCACAUAUGGCACCAUACAACAGCAAGUACGAUCGGUCGAGUGUAAAUCAAACAUUGCACAUUGAUCUAGGACUUGAAAGAACGAAGCACGUACGCUCGGUCUUUUAUUUUGGUCAGCAAUUAAGUUUCGCUCGUCGUGGCACGUAACAUCGCGCGUACGAUGGAACAUGCUAGGCGGCGGUGACGGCGAUCUUCAUGCCGGACUGGCAGUGUCCAGGAAUGCUGCAUAUGAAGUAGUUUGUGCCGCGUGCGAGGGUAACGCGGUCGG